CGGUGUUACGACCGGUGGGCUUGGUGUUGGUGGCGUAACAACAGGUGGCGGUGGGCACGGUGAUGGCGGUGGCGGUGGGCACGGUGAUGGCGGCGUUACGACGGGUGGAGGCGUAUGAGUGGGUGGUUUAGGGGUGGACGGAGGUGGUUUAACAGUGGGCGGUUUCGUGGGUGGUUUCGGGGUAGACGGAGGAGGUUUAACGGUGGGCGGUUUCGUGGGUGGUUUCGGGGUGGACGGAGGUGGUUUAACGGUGGGCGGUUUCGUGGGUGGUUUCGGGGUGGGAUGAGGUUUGGUAGGGGGUUUCGGAUGUGGGUGUGGUUUGACAGUGGGCGGUUUGGUAGGGGGUUUAGGGUGUGGGUGUGGUUUGACGGUGGGUGGUUUGGGAGGUUUUACUGCCGGUGGUUUAGGCGGUUUGCUAGGAUGUUUAGGCGGUUUGUGGGGGUGAGGUGAUGGUUUAGGAGGGCUACAGUCGCAAGCGAAG
rnacentral:lncRNA from 1 species